GCACUACAAGAAAAAUAUGUUUUAGCGACAAACUUUUAGUAGCAAUAAUAUAAUAGCCACUAAUUCUUUAAUUUAAGUUAUGUUUUUGCGGCAAUUAUAUAUUUGCCAUUGUUACUAUAUAUUAUAAUGGCAAUUGUCAUAAUUGCCACUAAUAAAUAUAAAAAAAGCUUUUUUAAUGAAAAAUUUUAGUGGCCAUAGCAUUAUAGCCAGUAUUAUUCUUAUUAAAAUUACUAAAAUUAUACUAUAUUAACAAUUAUCAUUAUUACCAUUAAUAAAUAUAAAAAACAAUUUUUUUACUAAAAAAUUUGUAGUGUAAGAGAUUCAGAGAAAGAGAUUUAGAGAGAUCUUAAUCUCACCGCGGAAGCCCCUCAUAGCCGGUGUUGCCACCCUCGCCACCGCAGUUCAGAUCGAGCCAAGGCGCCUCCUCCACCAACGCAUCUCCAGAUCUGGUAGCAACGCCUUCUUCGCAAACGAGCUUGCUCUCCAUGGCCACCAUGUGAAGUAGGCUCUGACGACACAACACCAGCAGCAUCACACACGACUUCCUCCUCAGGUAGCAGCGGCGAUGACAUUGGUUUAAAGACUCACCUUUCUUCGAUUAAUGUUUGUUUCACCAGCCCUGCUUGAUUAAUUACGUUUUCGGUUACUUGUAAGUCUAAUUUCUGUUUGAUUAUGUCAAUUCUCUUUUAUUAUAUGGUUUGAAACUCUCUAUUAUGUCAAUUCAUUCUUGAUCUCAGUUCAAAAUUUUUUUGAAGAUCUUCUGGAUAUUUAAAAAACAUACUCUGCUAUUAUAAAGAUCUAUUUAUUUAGUUUUUAGUUUUACUUUGAGUUUUGACUGAUUUCUGUUUCAAUGUAUUGUAAUGUUGGUAUGCAAAUUAGUGUUGUUGGUUCUGCACUGGUUCCUGUUUGAUUUGGAUA